GUAUUAAAUCUAAAAACAAGUGAUUUCUAUAAAGCUAAUUCAAAGAAACUCUGCAACCGGCUCUCCUAAGGCCCAGUUAAGGAUGUUGUAAUUUGGGGAUUUGCACUUCUCUUUAUUUCGCCACCUGGCCUAUUUCCUGUUUCUAAGGUACUUUGGUUGCCAUGGAAACAUAAACACAUACAACUAGUUUCCUCUAAUUGGACUGAUGAAUUUCACCCUGAGCUCUGCCCCUCUGCUUUCUCUCUCAUGGCAACUCCCCACUACACCUUAAUCAAUCUUUGCUUUUUUCCACUUAGCUUACCUACUCCCUUCACUCCCAAUUUUCUCACCAGUCUCCCUCUCCUGGUGUGGUAGCACACUUGAGUGUGUGGAUAGCUUUGGGUAUUUGCCUUGCAACUUAUAAAUCCUGUGUGCAAACUAACCUUCCACCAGUGGGAGUAACUCUUACAAAGACUCCAUUUUUUUUAUGGAACUAUAUUGAUUGAUCAUUAGAAUUAGGACUACCUUGUCAAUAAUUAGAAUUAUUGACAUUUUGUUUCCUAUUAAAUAGCUGUAUAAGGAAAUAGUAAUUAAUUUUUAUGAGUAGGAAUAUAAACAGCACAGACCUUCAAGGAAGUAGUGAGAUGUAUACAAAUUGGUAGAAAAUAGUGAUCCAAAACAAUGAGUGACCUAGGUAAAAUUAAGAAUUAGGUUACCUUACAACUCAAAUACAAAGGAAAUGGAUUAGGGGAAACAAUCAAAGCCUGGAAAGUUCAUACAUGAACUAUGUAUUAACCAUUCUUUCUCUUUCUUUCUCCUCCUUCUCUGUCUUCUUCCUAAUAUAGUCAUAACUUGGGACAAGGUGUUUUCACACACACUGCAUGAAAUGUGGUGACGGGGUGCAACACAGAUCAGCUGAGAAGGAGACUGACUCUCUGAACAGAAGCUCCUGGAAUGUCCUGAAGUAACAGGAGCAAGUUUCACCAACACACGCCCUGUUAAUGAGGAAACUGCAAAAGAGAAUUCAGAAGAUUAAACACAGAUCUACAGUGAGAGAUGUGUUUACAUCCUAUAUGUAGAUAAACCUGGAGCUGCCCAAGUCCAUCCUACUGCCACAGGAAAAGAGUCUAACAUACAGGAAAACAGCUGAGAAAUGGAGACACACCUGACAACAUCAUUUGAAUAUCUGAAUCCUGGACCUUUCAGCUUGAAUGAGCUCCUGCACUCACCCCACCACAAACAUCAAUUUUUUUGUUUAUAUUUUUAUUGUGCUUAAUCGAGUUUGAGUUGGGUUUCUGUCAUUUGUAACCAAAAGAGUUCUGACAAAUACAAACUUCACA